rnacentral:rRNA from 1 species
UACGUAGGGUGCGAGCGUUAAUCGGAAUUACUGGGCGUAAAGCGUGCGCAGGCGGUUCGUUAAGUCAGAUGUGAAAGCCCCGGGCUCAACCUGGGAACUGCAUUUGAAACUGGCGGGCUUGAGUGUGGCAGAGGGGGGUGGAAUUCCGCGUGUAGCAGUGAAAUGCGUAGAGAUGCGGAGGAACACCGAUGGCGAAGGCAGCCCCCUGGGCCAACACUGACGCUCAGGCACGAGAGCGUGGGGAGCAAACAGG